CUUAACUAAAAGAUAAAAUCAAAGCAAAGACUUCUUAGCCCAAUUUGAUUUACAAAGCAGCUGUCUGAUAGAACAUAACAAAUGGCUAUUUCAAAAUACAUGAGAAUAGUAUAGUUGAACUUGCAUGUAUUUAAUUCCCUACCAAAUCCUCCUUCCAAUUGAAAGCAAAUGAUAAAAAACACGUUUAGAGAUAGUUGUGAGAAACUAUAAUUACAGAAUGAAAAAGACUAAAAUGUAAAUAUACCCAGUGUCUCAAGCUUCGACUGUGAGAAAUGACUAAACUCCUUACACUACAAAAUUUUACUCCAAACUAGCUUUUUCUGACAUGGAGGGAAUAACGGCCAACUGUGCUUUAAGUUACAACCAUCUCUGGGUUCUACACAUCUGACUGCUCAAAUGGGACACGCACAAACAACUGCCCAUGCAGGGUGACCACAGCAGAUGUCUGAUGUGGAUCAAUUCUUGAAGGUAAGCUGACAACCUUUUUAAAGGGUGUGACACCCCAAGGAUUAUCCAGUUGCUCUGGUUGACCAGAUAUAAUCAACCGUCCUGCUGGAUCAGAUUGAACAUGCACCUGAAAAGUAAAUAUUAUUGGCAUAGAAAGCAAGAACUUGUACCAAAGUUCUUGAAAAAAUAUGAGAAAAGUUCAUGGUGUUGUGAAAGGAGAUGACAAAAUGAGAUUAAAAAGAGGGCUUUGAGAUGCGUCUUACCUCCUCACGCAAAAGCCCUGGAACUAAAGCAUAUAUUUCAAAGCAGUCAUUCUGUGUAUGGUCAAAAAUUUAAAACCCAAUUUUAAACUCAAUAUGAGAAGUUUAAGGAUCAAUAUAUUAGAGUAUCCUAACUAAUACAAUUAGAAGUAGAGAAAAUCUUACAGUUCUUUGCACAUUGAUCUUCACCCAAUCAGCCGGAGGUCCAAUGUCAAUGACCAUUGUAUCUGCCCUGCCAAAAGAAAAACACAAUUUUAGCACUUCCAAAUUGAGGGCAUUACAUUUCACAAUUGAUCAACACCUGAGACUACAAAGUAACCAGUGAUCAUAACUGUAGUUUCAUCGUUUUCAUAUGGGGAACAUGGACAGCACGCUCAACAUUUGAUGGCCUUUUACGCUUCAGUAAACCAUUCAAUUUUAGCUGCUUGUCACCCUUUGGUGUAGAACUAGAGUUCUUAUCCUGACCAUUACCAAGAAGACGAUGGAAGUGCCAUCCCUGCAUGGCACGAGCCGCAGCAUCCCUCCGUGCCCUACCCGAUCCAAGAGCAUGACUUCCUGGUGCCUGAUUUUCAACUGUAAUAGGAGGCUCUGUCAAGGAAGCAUCAGAAAAAGGAAGCUCACCAGAACGCAUUUUAUGUUUUUCAUAUUCAAGUAAUGCCUUCUCAUAGAAAAUUCGGAAUGUCCAAGAGACAGUAGUGCAGGUCUUUGGGGGUCUGAAUGAUUCUCCCACUUGCCGCCAUAACUUGCAUGAAGUCACCUGUUCAUAGCCUCCCAGUUUGACCACUGCAUUCCAUAACUUGAGCAAAUUCAAUUCUUCUUUGUAGAACUUUGGGGCCUUGAAUUCUAAGUUAUUUUCUUUAUAAAAAGUUUCAACCUCCUUUAUAAACGCAGCUUGCUCCUCUUCUGUUCCAGACUCAUAACCCUCAGCUGAAGAAGGUUCAAAAAGGAAUGAUUUGUUUGGAGUGUUCAUGGUGGCUUCAUACUCUUCAUCCAAGUUGGGUUUUGGCAUCUCCUUUUUAAUCUGUGGUGGAGACAAGUCCACCUUGGUCACCACAUCUUUCACUGCCUCCACAUUCAUAUCAUCAUCAACUUUCCCAUCAUGUAAAGACUUCUCAUUCAAGAGAUGGAUAUGACUAUCCUCAUUUUUAACAUCCGCGUCAUUGUUAAUUUCAUUGGCACCAUUGUCAGCAUUAUCCUCAGAAUUAAAUUUCACAUCUUGAAGGUCACCAUGCAUUCCAUUGGCAUUGGCUUUGGCUUGGAUGUUACCACCACUAGUUUCAUUUUCAUGGAUUUUACUAUCGCUAGCAGCUUUUUCAUCCUUGUUAUGAAAAGUCUCAGGACUUUUGGCACCAGGAGCAUCUGCAACCUUUUCAGCUGGGAUUUGUUCUUCUACUUGAACAACUGCGCAGUCCAUUGCAUCUUCGGUAACAUCAUCCUUGUCCUCAGCCCUCAUUUUCCCAUUUUCAACUGGGUUUUGAGCUUCCUGAUCCCCAGGGUGAGACAAAGGAGGGCCUUUGGCUUCCCCUUCAAGUAGUGCAUCAUUUAGAUUGAUAUUGAGUGUUUCGUCCACAUCUUUCCCCGCUUCUUUGGCAUACACCAUUUCAUUACUAGUCAUUUCUGUAGUAAAAAGUAUAGAAUAGCAACCAAAAUUCGUAUAGAAAUUUAACAACCAACCCAACCACCCUUGUUAAAGAGAAUGAGAGCUAAAACCCCUUUUGAGCGUAGAGCGUCUAAAACGAAGUAUCAGCCGAGUCCAAACACAACCUUUUACCCAGAAGCCAAAGAAUAAGCAACUGAGAGACUUGGUGUGCUUGUGUUUCUCUAUUUACUUUCUUUCGCUUGUGUUUUCUUCCUCAAAGAAAAGAAAUGGCACAGUGAAAGUGUUUGGCAGAGCAGGGAAGGAGAGAAACCAAACAAGGAGAGAGUUCAGAGUCUCUAGAGAGAGAGAGAGAGAGAAAGA
rnacentral:misc_RNA from 1 species